AGUCUUCCCAGAGUGAGAGCCUCUGCUUCAAACAAUAAGAUGUAGACUGUCCGAGGACAAAGCAAUAGAUCACGUGUCCUCCAUACACACGACACACAGACAAGUGAGGUCCACAGAGGUUGCGAUGAAGAGUACGGCAGAGAGAGCCGGGUUGAUGGCAUGUAUGCAGAAGGCAUCUUUAACUUGAGGAGUCUCAGGGUCAUGAUCAAGGGGAUGAACUGGCUGGGGAAGUCCCACCAAGCUCCACUGCUUAGGAUGCAGUGUGAUUCAGCACAUUUAAAUUAGAAUGGAGAAAUCAAAGUUUUGAACGACCUGCCAGGACUGUGAGGAAAGAAAAGUUUAGAGCACCAGAGCUAGGAGCCACAGGAAACUGAGCUGCCUGGGAUUUUAAACAUCUAACUGGGUAAAUUAAACUGACUAGUUUCUGCAGCUGUACUCCUGCCUAACGAAACAAGGAUUCAAAGCACUUCCAAAGUCAAUUCCCAUCAGACUGACGACAAGCAUAAUUACUUAAAUAUUUAGGAUCAUAAAGCAAAGGUUAUUUGCUUCCUACAUCCUAUCAGAGCCUUAUUUAUGCACUAGCCUUGAUUUACCUCACAGCUACGCUGAGGACCAGCACCAAUAGACGUGGAUCACAGCAUCCACAGAACCACCUACAAUGCCAAGGAGAUUUAACAAUCUCACCAAGACAAAUCUGCAGCAAUUUCAGGAACCUUCUGAUAGAGACUUUGAAAAUGUAGAUUCCCAACAAAUAGAUAAAUAAAUAAUAAAUAAAUAAAUAGUAAU